ensembl:ncRNA lncRNA:CR42794 long non-coding RNA:CR42794
UUCGUGCUCGGCGGGGGGAAGCGGGAAGGUGGGGCUUGGUGGAGCAGGAGCGGAUGCAGAAGGAGCGUUCACUGUCUGCGCCGCAUCCUCGCGGCGUCUUUACCCCGCCGGCAAUUGUGCGCAUUUAACGGUGUGUCCUUGGCGGAAUACACCGCCCCCUGAUCGGUCGCCUCCAUGGAUGCGGACAUGGGCAUGGAGAUGGCACAUGGCAGUCCACUACGUGGAGUUGGACAGUGGCGCAGUUUCUGGAAGAAGCGCGAUAAGACAGCAAUUUUUGCGGAUCGACGCCAUAAAGCAGAUAUGCAUGAUACGAUUAUAAUUAUACGGCAAACACGCAUGGCAACCGUCUGCGAUGCCACAGUGAAAGCCGGCUACAGGGAACUCAGGAGCUAUGAAACUAACUAAAAGGAUUUCAUGGGAAUUUAAUAAUUCAUAAUUCUUUGGUUUAAUACAUUUACUAUGAGCAACAUUAUGU